UAAUGGGUGUACGACAUUAGAACGUUCUAAUCUGUUCUAAAGGGGUCUUCUAACUUUCUCAUUAGAAUUCUAAUUAGUUUAAUUGUAAUAUUAUUUGUAGUUUCUAAUGCACCAACAACCAUAACGAUUUAUCACCUUAUAGCACCAAAUGGCAUGUGUCACUGCGUUUUUUUACUGGUGUAACCAGUACUUGCCAGUAUCUAAUCUAUUGUAUCACAGCAGAUGAAUAUUCCUCAUCCUCUGACCCUAGAGAAUGCAUAGGUUCCGAACUGUUCUGAACCAUGUCACCCCAACAGUCAGCAGGUGCACCAACCGGCAACAAGAUGUGUCGUUCCUAACUAAGCCAACACACGGUAGGGCUCCUGUCUAAUAGGCCACUCAUAUACUCGUACACAAUGCUGCACAAAGUAAGUACAGAUCACAUUCUGGGGUUUGAAGCCGUUCCAGGAGUUCGUCUAUCCCCACAUAUUCAAACUCGAAUUAGAUGACAUUGUAGCACUGCCCAUAUGAAUACACAAGUUGUGUAACACGGUACGACAGGUUGUGUCCCCCUUAAGCAUAACCCAGGGGUUAGGGGUAGGGGUAGGGGUAAGUGGUUACCCAUGUGGCUAUGUACGAAGGGAGGUGGGUAACCUAACCCCGGGGUAGGGGUAACCCCUUACCAAGGGGUAACAAAGGGGUAGGGGUAACCCCUUACCAAGGGGUAACAAAGGGGUAGGGGUAAUAUUGUACUGAGGGGUAACAGACAGGGUAACCCGUGUUUACAAGUGUUCCUUGUCCGUAUGCCGGGCCAUAUGCUGGUGUCAAUGGAUUGUAAGCAUGUCCCUGUCCAACCUGCCUACACAUGCUAUCACAGCUGUCUCAUCCAUCUAUGUGAGCACGUAUGCCUAUUUCGCCUAUGUAAAAAAAUAUUUGCAUGCCUCUCUAUACACUUCCAUCCAUGCAUAUGCCUGUAUCAAGCUCACAUGUCUACACAUACAAACAUACAUGUUCACCAAACACUUCGAGUGUACAAUUGUAAAGAUUGCCUCACCAACACAAGCCUUGCAGGGCUGUAGAGCCCGCCCAUGGCCCCAGGCUCGGGGUGUGUAUAAACUCGCUAAUUACACCAACGUCAUCAUAUCAAGAGAAAGGAAAUCAGACCCAGCCCCCAGAUUCAGUUCCGUAUGAUCUGAUGUACGGCUCCAUACACAUGUCUCACUAAACGAGUUCCUGACUCCGAUAAUCAAAUAUCGGAUAAUCAAAUAUUUCUCCGAUAUCUGAUUAAUCCGAGGUCUCCCACCACGGGGACUCUAGAGUCCAGACCUGUUUUGCAUGCACGGAAAAGAAAUGGCAAAAUUUAAGGUUAUGCUUAAUAACUGUCAUACGACAGAAACCGGGAGGAUAGCUAUAGGUGGCAAUACACAUAUCAGCUGCAGGGUUUUAACAUUAGCUAGUGCCCAACUCUGAACAAAACCCAAAACCAAAACCCUGAGAGCACAACUUACUUCACUCACUGCCUAUCCGUGGAUCAGCUGACCCUCGACGGCGGCGGCUGGUCUUUG
rnacentral:lncRNA from 1 species